UUGAUCAUCUUUCCUUCCUCCUCCCUUUUGUGAGAGUGAGAAAUCGCACGCACUUAACCUUAAAAUCUGCGGCGAGCGAGGACACAGGCGGCCAGCUGCCCGCUCCCGGCGCGGCCGGUACCUGCCGCAUCCCGCUCGUCCCCUAGCCCGGGCCGUGCCCCCCGCCCGGAGCGCCCCGCAGCCUCUGUAGCCCUCCACUGGGGCGGGCAGGGGACCGCCCUCGCCCGUCGCGCCGGAAAGGAGAGGGCUCAAAGCCCAGAGCAGCUCAAAGCAUCCCCCAAGCCGGGUGUCACGGUCUGGGUCCCCGAGAGGGGAGAAAGCACAUCGUGGAAACCUGUGAGCAGGUGCAGAUUAAAAGCGGGAAAAAACUGUUGCACAACUGUUAGGUGGUGUGGGAGUCUGCACUGCUGCUCUAGGCUUUACAGAAGAACUUGGGAGAGACAUCUUUUCCCUGAGACUCCAGCAAUGAGGUUGUUAGCACUUCUUUCUUAUGAUUAUUUGGGAACAGUGAAUGUUUUAAAGCACCUGUCAUGCUGUGGGGCUUUAUUAGAUAUAUGACAUGCAGAAGGUGGAAAUUUUUUUGUGCCCUUAUUUUCAGCUGGUUUUUGGGCCUUUUACUUCUGAUGUCCUGUAUCCCAUGUGAACUCUAAAAGGAAUCCUCCCAAAGCACCAAUUAUCAUUUCUCUUUCCUACAAAUUCAUGUGUAAACAUGUAGUGACAUUUUUUUUGAAUGGCAGCAGUCACUUGUGGCAGUAAUUGCUGCUUGUGGUUUCUUAUAAAAGUAUAAGAAGUCUUUUAUAUGCUUAAUUAUAUAGAACUCUAUAACAUUGGAAAAUGUGAUCUUUUUUAAAUUGUAGCUUGGAGCUGAUGUGCCUAAUUGGUGGGGAAAUACAGUAAUAGCUAAAAAUGUGUUAUUAAUAAAUCUGAGGAUCUGUAAAGACAUUCCUUCAAACAAAUAAUUUUCUGUUGGGAAUUUUGUUUUCACUUUGUUGUUAGAUUCUUCCGUAGUAGAGAUCAUGUGAAAAUGUGCUGGCUUACCCUGGUAUAAGAACAGCUCUGAGUACAUAAAUGUAAAUGAAGUUUUGUGCUUAGCUGAAAAUAAAAGAGCUGAGCAUUAUUCUCAGAUAGUUCACUGCAUGAUUAAUAUGAUUUUUUAAGUACUGAUAUCUUGUAAGAAUAUAAUCAGAUACUCUUCUUCAUUGGAGCUAUGAAGCACCACCCAGCCAGUGUGUUAUGAGCAGUAAAUGAAUAACCUUUUACUAGCCUGUAGGAUAAUGCUAUUGUUUACAACUUUGUGAUUUAUUACAUGUUUCUUGAUUCCUGAGUAAGCUGUCACAGGCUGCUCUGUGCCUGUUAAAUGAAUAUAUGCUCUGGAAAGACACAACUCUAUCCUGGUAACAUGACUUGAUUGUUACGGGUAAUUUUCUGAAUGCUUGUGGCAAUACAGAGCUGUCUUUUUCUCCUUUUUCUUUGUUAUUUUUAUUUUAUAAGAUUCUGAUACUAGUGUGUUUCUUAUACUUUCUCCCAUUGGAACUAGUGAAGAAUUAAUUGUUCUAUGACGAUAUUCUGAAAUGUAUAAACAUUUGGGAUACUGCAUCACGUCUGACUUUCCUU
rnacentral:lncRNA from 14 species